UUUGAUUGGCGCGUGAUCCAAGCAAGGGUUUGGUAGGGCUAUCUGAAAGCAGUGAAGGCAAAGAUCAUCCAUCUUUGUAGAAAUGAGGAAUCUGUCAAGCUUCGCCAUAAUUGGUACCUCCCUUCUGUUACUCCAAGUGAACUCUUGGCCAUUUAGAGGAAGGUCAAUUGGCUGAGCUGUUCUUAUGAAAGAGGGAUAAGCUAUUGACAUUUUGGAUGCU
rnacentral:lncRNA from 1 species